rnacentral:rRNA from 1 species
AGAGUUUGAUCCUGGCUCAGAUUGAACGCUGGCGGCGUGCCUAACACAUGCAAGUCGAGCGGCAGCGCGGGAGCAAUCCUGGCGGCGAGCGGCGGACGGGUGAGUAACGCUUGGGAAUCUGCCUGUUAGUGGGGGAUAACUCGGGGAAACUCGAGCUAAUACCGCGUACGCACUACCUUUGGACAGGCGGAGAUCAAAGCCGGGGAUCGCAAGACCUGGCGCUAACAGAUGAGCCCAAGUCGGAUUAGCUAGUUGGUAGGGUAACGGCCUACCAAGGCUACGAUCCGUAACUGGUCUGAGAGGACGACCAGUCACACCGGAACUGAGACACGGUCCGGACUCCUACGGGAGGCAGCAGUCGGGAAUUUUGGGCAAUGGGCGAAAGCCUGACCCAGCAACGCCGCGUGAAGGAUGAAAUCCCUCGGGAUGUAAACUUCGCAAGAACGGGAAGAAUAAGUGAGAGUUAAUAUCUCUCACGAUGACGGUACCGGGAGAAUAAGCCCCGGCAAACCUCGUGCCAGCAGCCGCGGUAAUACGAAGGGGGCUAGCGUUGUUCGGAUUUACUGGGCGUAAAGCGCACGUAGGCGGAUUGUUAAGUCGGGGGUGAAAUCCUGGAGCUCAACUCCAGAAUUGCCUUCGAUACUGGCUUUCUAGAGGCUGGAAGAGGUUAGUGGAAUUCCCAGUGUAGAGGUGAAAUUCGUAGAUAUUGGGAAGAACACCAGUGGCGAAGGCGGCUAACUGGUCCAGAUCUGACACUGAGGCGCGACAGCGUGGGGAGCAAACAGGAUUAGAUACCCUGGUAGUCCACGCCGUAAACGAUGGGUACUAGGUGCCUGGGGGAGCGACCCUUGGUGCCGGCGCUUACGCAGGAGUACCCCGCCUGGGGAGUACGGCGCAAGGCUGAACUCAAAGGGAUUUGACGGGGCCGCACAGCGGUGAAGCAUGUGGUUUAAUCGCGCACGCGAAGAACCUUACCUAGGCUUGACAUGCAUGGGAACUUCCUAGAACCGAGGAG